CGGGAUGUGGCUCAGCUUGGUAGAGCGUUCGGUUCGGGACCGAAAGGUCGCAGGUUCGAAUCCUGUCAUCCCGACCA
rnacentral:tRNA from 1 species